GUGUUGCUCACUGUCUUUGCAUCCAGCCACCUGUUCCUUGCUCCAAUAUUUUGACCUGUUGCCUCUUUUGACUGUUCAACCUGCCAUCCCGUUGCCAGCUUGUAAGUCUGUUCCUGACUACAGCCUCUAGGCAUGUGUGUGGCCGGGCGUGUGGCUGGCUCCGCCUUCAGCAGCAGACGAGGAGCACCACGUUCUACUCGCCUCAUCAACUUCCCCAUAAAAGCCCGGUCUCCACUCCACUACGUUGCCAGAUCUCGUUCGAUUAUCCUGUGUGCCUCGCUGCUGCUCCUGCUUCCACGACUCCAGUGGCUGAGAUAUCCCAUGCGCUCAGUCCUCAUGUUCCAUUCUCUCCUCGCCACGAGCCGGCCAGAUCCCUGCCCUCCUGCUUGCGUUUUUCCUCUUAGUUGGAAAAUAAACUUUGUUUUAUUUUAA